rnacentral:rRNA from 1 species
AUUGAACGCUGGCGGCAGGCCUAACACAUGCAAGUCGAGCGGAGCGGCGGACGGGUGAGUAAUGCCUAGUAAUCUGCCUGGUAGUGGGGGAUAACGUCCGGAAACGGGCGCUAAUACCGCAUACUAUCAGAUGAGCCCAGGUCGGAUUAGCUAGUUGGUGGGGUAAAGGCCUACCAAGGCGACGAUCCGUAACUGGUCUGAGAGGAGGAUCAGUCACACUGGAACUGAGACACGGUCGAGACUCCUUCGGGAGGCAGCAUUAGGGAAUAUUGGGCAAUGGGCGAAAGCCUGAUCCAGCCAUGCCGCGUGUGUGAAGAAGGUUUUCGGAUUGUAAAGCACUUUAAGUUGGGAGGCGUUAGCAACAGAAUAAGCACCGGCUAACUUCGUGCCAGCAGCCGCGGUAAUUC